GUUUAAUUAACACUUAAAAGAAUUAUACUCGUUGCAAAAGCUUUAAAAACGCACAUUUCACAGUCAUUAUUAUUCUUAUCCAUUCAAUCUGUGAUUAUUUAAAAUAACUAUUUCUGAAAAAAACAUAUGCUGUUGGGUGUUUUAGGGAGCUUUUUUGUUUUAAAAGAAAUCCCAUUCACUUUCGUGCAUCUGGUAAAAAAAAGGAUUCCAAAACAUGAAAAAAAAAAAAAAAAAAAAAAAGAAGUGUUCUUUUAAUUGAAAGCAGCUUGUGCUGAAUGAGGCUGGUUCAGGUGCUGUUUGUUGGGAGCUGUUUGCGUAAAAAACUCCACCAAACUCACUUUUUUGUAUCGAAUGCUACAUUUUUUAUGCCACCCGGCCUUGUAAUAAGUCACUUCUGCCACUUUUAAAGGACUUUUUGAAGGAAAAAUGAAGGAAUAAUGAGGAGUUUGACGCGUUUCUUGGCCGCUGCUGUUUGGAUCCAGCUGACCAGUUGGAAAAGUUGUGGGUUCCAUUAAUGCUCGGGGCCAAAGAGGAGGAAGAACACGGUCAGGUUUGUUGACUCCAAGGCAUCGGGGGUAAAUGAAGAGAUUGCUGAUACCAGGAACAGCUACACAAAUAUUGUGGACAGCCGCUCUGCUCCCCUACUGUCCUCCGCUAUGCCAGCAGCCAGGACCAGCCGUCGUCCUCGGUGGGAGACAGGAGAGGGGACAGGUGCAGGGUCUGGCUGUGUCCACUGUCCCUGCUGGAUCUGCUUCUUUCUCACACUCCACAGUCAAAGACGUUCCUCUCAUUCUCUCCCCACGUUCACUGCAGCUCAUCUCCAGCAGGAAUCGUCUAUUUUCACCGCCUCCUCGCUGUUUCUGCUGCACGGAUUCUUCUUACACAGCAAAUUAGUCACUUGAUCUUUGUAGCUGCUGUCUUUUUGCACAAGUCCUGUCCAACUUUUGACCUCUACAUCUUAUAUUUAAU
ensembl:lncRNA